rnacentral:rRNA from 1 species
UACGGAGGGGACUAGCGUUGUUCGGAAUUACUGGGCGUAAAGCGCACGUAGGCGGAUUUGUAAGUCAGGGGUGAAAUCCCUGGGACUCAACUCCAGAACUGCCUUUGAUACUGACAGAUCUAGUUCGGGAGAGGUGAGUGGAAUCGCAGUGUAGAGGUGAAAUUCGUAGAUAUUGAAGAACACCAGUGGCGAAGGCGGCUCACUG